rnacentral:rRNA from 1 species
CGGUGGAGCAUGUGGUUAAUUCGAAGCAACGCGAAGAACCUACCAGGCCUUGACAUGCAGAGAACUUUCCAGAGAUGGAUUGGUGCCUUCGGGAACUCUGACACAGGUGCUGCAUGGCUGUCGCCAGCUCGUGUCGUGAGAUGUUGGGUUAAGUCCCGUAACGAGCGCAACCCUGUCCUUAGUUACCAGCACGUUAUGGUGGGCACUCUAAGGAGACUGCCGGUGACAAACCGGAGGAAGGUGGGGAUGACGUCAAGUCAUCAUGGCCCUUACGGCCUGGGCUACACACGUGCUACAAUGGUCGGUACAAAGGGUUGCCAAGCCGCGAGGUGGAGCUAAUCCCAUAAAACCGAUCGUAGUCCGGAUCGCAGUCUGCAACUCGACUGCGUGAAGUCGGAAUCGCUAGUAAUCGUGAAUCAGAAUGUCACGGUGAAUACGUUCCCGGGCCUU